rnacentral:rRNA from 1 species
UAGGGAAUCUUCCGCAAUGGGCGAAAGCUUGACGGAGCAACGCCGCGUGAGUGAUGAAGGUCUUCGGAUCGUAAAACUCUGUUAUAGGGAAGAACAAAUGUGUAAGUAACUAUGCACGUCUUGACGGUACCUAAUCAGAAAGCCACGGCUAACUACGUGCCAGCAGCCGCGGUAAUACGUAGGUGGCAAGCGUUAUCCGGAAUUAUUGGGCGUAAAGCGCGCGUAGGCGGUUUUUUAAGUCUGAUGUGAAAGCCCACGGCUCAACCGUGGAGGGUCAUUGGAAACUGGAAAACUUGAGUGCAGAAGAGGAAAGUGGAAUUCCAUGUGUAGCGGUGAAAUGCGCAGAGAUAUGGAGGAACACCAGUGGCGAAGGCGACUUUCUGGUCUGUAACUGACGCUGAUGUGCGAAAGCGUGGGGAUCAAACAGG